GGUCCUUUUACGGGACGUUGUUAUCACUGUAGAGAGAUUGGGCAUCCGGCCAAGAUGUGUCCCAAAGCUAAGCAGGGACAGUAUGGGCAGCCGAGACCUAAUCAGCCGUUACCUCUACCGGCCCCACCGAUGCCACGUGGGCAAGUUCAAAAUGUUCCGGCACUUCCAGCACCACCAUUUCCUCCGGGACAACCUCCACAGCAGUUGCAUCAUGGCAGAGUUUAUAACUUCAUGCCACAUAAUGCGCUGGCUCCUCAGGCUAUUGAGGGAUACGGUCAGUACCCGUUCCAAGGUUGAGGUUAGCAGUGUGGGACCACCAUCCGAACUCAUCUACUCUUACAAUCCAGUUCAGGGUAGAAGUUUUAUGUAUUACUUCAGUUUCAGUUUUUAUUUACUUUUGACGUUGAACUCUCAGGGUUAUAUUUAGGGAUCCUUGACAUAGGAUUUCCAAGUUGUAAUGAAGUACUGUAUUAAAUAAAGGAUGGAUGGAUGUUGUAUUAUUUAGUGUUCCUUUCUUGUCUAAA